rnacentral:rRNA from 1 species
GACGAACGCUGGCGGCGUGCCUAACACAUGCAAGUCGAACGGAGAAUUUUAUUUCGGUAGAAUUCUUAGUGGCGAACGGGUGAGUAACGCGUAGGCAACCUGCCCUUUAGACGGGGACAACAUUCCGAAAGGAGUGCUAAUACCGGAUGUGAUCAUCUUGCCGCAUGGCAGGAUGAAGAAAGAUGGCCUCUACAAGUAAGCUAUCGCUAAAGGAUGGGCCUGCGUCUGAUUAGCUAGUUGGUAGUGUAACGGACUACCAAGGCGAUGAUCAGUAGCCGGUCUGAGAGGAUGAACGGCCACAUUGGGACUGAGACACGGCCCAAACUCCUACGGGAGGCAGCAGUGGGGAAUCUUCCGCAAUGGACGAAAGUCUGACGGAGCAACGCCGCGUGAGUGAGGAAGGUCUUCGGAUCGUAAAGCUCUGUUGUAAGAGAAAAACGGCACUCAUAGGGAAUGAU